AAAGUUUAGGAUAACAAAAUUUAUAUGUUUAUUAAACCACUUUAAGAUUUAAAACAUGGUGACAUGGAAAUGCAAAGGGGAGCUAUAAAGACCGGAUGAAUCCAUUUAUUAAUUGAAAUACGUGUUCCUGUCUGUUAUUAAGAAGUGCACGAUUUCAUUUGUACUGUAUCUGGGUGACCACAAAUCAGCGAUAACCAAUUCAUAAGUAAAUGUCCUUGCUUUAGGUGUAGAGGCAUUAACUGUAAUCAGACCAAAAUUUUCACUUCCAUUUGAAUUUUUCAGUUUAAACUCGGUGUGCCCUUGGUUUUACACAACAGGAUUCAGGAAUUAAAGGUUUGGCUCUUUAAAAGCCAUCAAACAGGCACACGGUCCACGAAGCAAAAACUCGGGGAAGUUCGUGCGCCCACACCUGGGAAAGCUGAGAUGCCCUUCAAGAGUUGAAGAUGGCGUUUCCAUGAGUCAGGUCAGAGUUAACGCGCUACCUUCGCUUCAAAGACUGGAUUCCUUUCAGUGUAUUAGUCAUGAUGUUUUGCUGACCGAGAGUUGGAACUCUGUAUGAGGGCGGGUGAGUUUACAUUCUGUCCGCUCGUCAUCCUCGUAGUUGCUAACACGCACAAAAGACUUCUUAAAAAACGCAAACUGGACUGAAAAAACUUAGGGCAGACAAGGAACAAAUCCUGGGCGGGUAGUGGACAAAGCGGUAAUUCUCACCUUACAGG
rnacentral:lncRNA from 1 species